rnacentral:rRNA from 1 species
AUUGAACGCUGGCGGCAUGCCUUACACAUGCAAGUCGAACGGCAGCACGGGUGCUUGCCCCUGGUGGCGAGUGGCGAACGGGUGAGUAAUACAUCGGGACAUGUCCUGUAGUGGGGGAUAGCCCGGCGAAAGCCGGAUUAAUACCGCAUACGAUCUACGGAUGAAAGCGGGGGACCUUCGGGCCUCGCGCCAUAGGGUUGGCCGAUGGCUGAUUAGCUAGUUGGUGGGGUAAAGGCCUACCAAGGCGACGAUCAGUAGCUGGUCUGAGAGGACGACCAGCCACACUGGGACUGAGACACGGCCCAGACUCCUACGGGAGGCAGCAGUGGGGAAUUUUGGACAAUGGGCGAAAGCCUGAUCCAGCAAUGCCGCGUGUGUGAAGAAGGCCUUCGGGUUGUAAAGCACUUUUGUCCGGAAAGAAAUCCUUGGCCCUAAUACGGUCGGGGGAUGACGGUACCGGAAGAAUAAGCACCGGCUAACUACGUG